UGGAAGUCUAAGAUCAAAGUGUUGGCAGGGUUGCUUUCUCCUGAGGGCUCUUGCCUUGACUCUUCUCAUUGUGUUCUCACAUGGUCUUUUCCUGGUGCACGUGUGCACCUGUUGUCUCUUCUUGGGUGUCCAAAUUUCCUCUUUUUAUAAGGAUACCAGUAAGAUUGAAGUAAAACCCAUUCUAAUGACCUCCUUUCAACUUCAUCAUCUCUUUAAAGGCUCUAUCUCUGAAUAGUUAUAGUCUGAGGUACUGGAGGAUAGGGCUUCAACAUAUGAAUUUUGGGGAGAGGCAAUUCAGCUUAUAACACCACCCAUGGGACAAAUGAGCUCGCUGACAAUGGUAGAAAAUAUCAAUGGAAAAAAUCUGGGUCCUGGAUAUGAGAUAAUAUAUAUCCUUAUGCUGUGUAAGCAAGUUGAAUAUGCAUUUUCUCUUACUUGAAAUUGAAGACACAUACCUUAUAUCUAAGAACCAUGGAACAAACAAAAAACCAUCAAUGUCACUCCUCUUCCUAGACUGCAGAGUUUCACCAGUUAGUCUGUAAUAUUGAAAGAGCAUCUGGAAGUUCUUCCAGUUGGAGAAAUAGCUGCAUGUGUUGAAGAACCUUCUCAAGUGGCAAGAAAUCUUCCUCUUGUAGCACUCCCCAGGAAAGAUUUGGUAUUCUUUGGACCCAGAGAAAAUGCUUCAAGUUUUUGAAGCUGCAAAAAGACUCAAGAUAGUUACAUACAGAUUUAAAGUGUGCCAAUGGAAAGAAUGUUGUAUUCGGGAAAUACUUAGUUUCUUUUAUGUGCAUUUUCCCCAUGACAAUGCAUGAAAUGUGAAUAUUAAUAUUUAGACAGCCCCUUAAUGGUUAGAUAGCUAGCAACCAGGCUCUGAAUACUACAAGUAAAAAAAGUUCUACAGAAAGCUAUUUCUUAUAAAUAUUUUAUUAAAUGGC
rnacentral:lncRNA from 10 species